rnacentral:rRNA from 1 species
AGUGAACGCUGGCGGUAGGCCUAACACAUGCAAGUCGAACGGCAGCACAGUAAGAGCUUGCUCUUACGGGUGGCGAGUGGCGGACGGGUGAGGAAUACAUCGGAAUCUACUUUUUCGUGGGGGAUAACGUAGGGAAACUUACGCUAAUACCGCAUACGACCUACGGGUGAAAGCAGGGGAUCUUCGGACCUUGCGCGAUUGAAUGAGCCGAUGUCGGAUUAGCAAGUUGGCGGGGUAAAGGCCCACCAAGGCGACGAUCCGUAGCUGGUCUGAGAGGAUGAUCAGCCACACUGGAACUGAGACACGGUCCAGACUCCUACGGGAGGCAGCAGUGGGGAAUAUUGGACAAUGGGCGCAAGCCUGAUCCAGCCAUACCGCGUGGGUGAAGAAGGCCUUCGGGUUGUAAAGCCCUUUUGUUGGGAAAGAAAAGCAGCAGGUUAAUACCCCGCUGUUCUGACGGUACCCAAAGAAUAAGCACCGGCUAACUUCGUG